UACGGGGGAGCAAGCGUUGUUCGGAUUUACUGGGCGUAAAGGGCGGGUAGGCGGCCACCGCAAGUCAGUUGUGAAAUCUCCGGGCUUAACCCGGAAAGGUCAACUGAUACUGCGGGGCUAGAGUGCAGAAGGGGCAACUGGAAUUCUCGGUGUAGCGGUGAAAUGCGCAGAUAUCAGGAGGAACACCGGUGGCGAAAGCGCUCUGCUGGGCCGCAACUGACACUAAUGGACGAAAGCUAGGGGAGCGAAUGGG
rnacentral:rRNA from 1 species